GAUCAUGGCUCAGGAUGAACGCUAGCUACAGGCUUAACACAUGCAAGUCGGAGGGGAAACGACAUUGGAAGCUUGCUUCCGAUGGGCGUCGACCGGCGCACGGGUGAGUAACGCGUAUCCAACCUGCCCACCACUUGGGGAUAACCUUGCGAAAGUAAGACUAAUACCCAAUGACGUCCAUAGAAGACAUCUGAAGUGGAUUAAAGAUUUAUCGGUGAUGGAUGGGGAUGCGUCUGAUUAGCUUGUUGGCGGGGUAACGGCCCACCAAGGCUACGAUCAGUAGGGGUUCUGAGAGGAAGGUCCCCCACAUUGGAACUGAGACACGGUCCAAACUCCUACGGGAGGCAGCAGUGAGGAAUAUUGGUCAAUGGGCGAGAGCCUGAACCAGCCAAGUAGCGUGCAGGAUGACGGCCCUAUGGGUUGUAAACUGCUUUUAUAAGGGAAUAAAGUGGAGGUCGUGACCUCUUUUGCAUGUACCUUAUGAAUAAGGACCGGCUAAUUCCGUG
rnacentral:rRNA from 1 species